rnacentral:lncRNA from 1 species
GGGAAUGCAAGAAAACUAUUUGGGUACAUGAUCAUAAAGUGCCUUAGCCUAAACUACUACCUUCUGCUACAGCUGCGCUCUGAGUGCUCUGCUUGUUCAGUAGAGAAGGGCAACAGGCUUUGUGAAACCACAACCAACACAGUAACCUUUAUUCUUUGAUUUUUUUCUUUUUCAUUGGAUCAGCAUUGAAAAUCACUUUGUAUGGAGAGCUAUGAGCCACAAUAGCACCGUAUCAAUUAUAAAUACAGGGAAGUAUCAGCAGAAAAAGCCUCUAAUCACCUUUGAAUUCUGACUAGAUCAGGAAGUCUCAGCUACUGAUCUUCAUAACUUAAGCAGGAAAGAAAAAUAAAGAAGAACGCACAGAGAGCUGAAAUCUUCUAGUACGGGUCAGAACGUGUCUCAGUGGCCUCCAGAAAAGGAAGACAGAACGAAUACAGCAUGACUAAACUCAGAAUCCUACAACAGGACAGGAGGCUUUUCUUAUGCGGUGUAGUUGUUCUCAAGAUUGUGUCAAAAAAAAGAAGCAAGGAAAAAUUUGACUUGGUAGAAGAGAGAGGACAUGAAGAAGAUAUGUGGGGAGGAACCAAGAAAGAUACAGAGAAGACAAAUCAGGAUG